GCCAACACCCUGGCCGCGUUGAGUGCACUCGUUCCCGUCAGAUCACGAAGGUUAAGCAGCGUCGGGCACGGAUAGUACUUGGAGUACUUGGUGAUCGCCUGAGAACUCCGUGUGGCGUUGGCG
rnacentral:rRNA from 13 species